CUUCCGGGUCCGGAACGGCUCCAGCUGUACGCACCCGCCCCGAGAGGAGCCGGGGACGGCGGCACCGGGCGGGUUGGGGCGAGCCGGGGGCGCGUGCCCCCGCCGGGUGGCAGCCCCGCUCUACGUCCCUCGCGGCCUGGCAAAAUCACAUUCGGCCGAGAGUUCACGCUGGGGAAGCUCUCUGAAUGCCUCUGAGAAACGAGGCCCGGCGCCAUCUCACCGACGAGUCUCGCCUUUACUGCUGCGUGCGUUUCCUCGGCACUUUAGGAACUAAAGCCUAACUGUCUGGGUAGCUCCCUAACAGGCUCUGGAGCUCAGUCCCUGGGCAGGGGGAAGGGGGUCCUCCGGGCUCCCAGCUCGCAGUCCUUUUUCUGGACAGGCAGUUCCUCGGCCACCUGGCAGGGCCGCGUUGCCUGGCAACGGCGGGGUCCUUCCUGGCUCGGCGGCGCUCGGGGCCUGAGGGGAGAAAACCGCCGCGGAGGGCGCUGGGGGUGGCGGCGGCGGUCCGGGAGGUGGCGGCGCGACUGAGACGCGGGUUUGGAGCGCCAGGGCGUCCGACCUCUGCACCUGAGAGAAGAUGAACACGGCCGACCAGGCCCGGGUGGGGCCCGCGGACGACGGGCCUGCGCCACCCGGAGAGGAGGAGGGAGAGGGGGGCGGCGAGGCGGGCGGGAAGGAGCCAGCAGCGGACGCGGCCCCGGGGCCCAGCGCUGCAUUCCGCCUCAUGGUGACUCGGCGGGAGCCGGCCGUGAAGCUGCAGUAUGCGGUGAGCGGCCUGGAACCGCUGGCUUGGUCCGAGGACCACCGCGUGUCUGUGUCCACGGCCCGCAGCAUCGCUGUGCUGGAGCUCAUCUGCGACGUGCACAACCCGGGCCAGGACCUGGUUAUCCACCGCACCUCGGUGCCCGCCCCUCUCAACAGCUGUCUCCUCAAAGUUGGCUCAAAAACAGAAGUUGCUGAGUGCAAGGAGAAAUUCGCCGCCUCCAAGGACCCCACGGUCAGUCAGACUUUCAUGUUGGAUAGAGUGUUCAACCCUGAGGGGAAGGCUUUACCAGCAAUGAGAGGAUUCAAGUACACCAGCUGGUCUCCCAUGGGUUGUGAUGCUAAUGGCAGGUGCCUCUUGGCAGCACUGACCAUGGACAAUCGCCUGACCAUCCAGGCAAAUCUCAACAGACUGCAGUGGGUCCAGCUGGUUGACCUGACUGAGAUCUAUGGAGAACGUCUUUAUGAGACCAGUUACAGGCUCUCUAAAAAUGAGGCCCCGGAAGGAAAUCUCGGGGAUUUUGCUGAGUUUCAGAGGAGACACAGCAUGCAGACCCCAGUCAGAAUGGAGUGGUCGGGCAUCUGUACCACUCAGCAGGUCAAGCAUAACAACGAAUGCCGGGAUGUUGGCAGUGUGCUCCUGGCCGUCCUCUUUGAAAAUGGUAAUAUCGCCGUGUGGCAGUUUCAGCUGCCCUUUGUAGGAAAAGAAUCCAUCUCUUCAUGCAACACGAUUGAGUCAGGAAUCACCUCUCCCAGUGUAUUGUUUUGGUGGGAAUAUGAGCACAAUAAUCGAAAAAUGAGUGGCCUUAUUGUGGGGAGUGCUUUUGGACCCAUAAAAAUUCUUCCUGUCAAUCUCAAAGCAGUCAAAGGCUAUUUCACUUUAAGGCAGCCUGUUAUCUUGUGGAAAGAAAUGGACCAGUUACCUGUGCACAGCAUCAAAUGUGUACCACUUUAUCAUCCUUACCAGAAGUGUAGUUGCAGCUUAGUAGUGGCUGCAAGAGGCUCUUAUGUAUUUUGGUGUCUUCUUCUGAUCUCCAAAGCAGGGCUGAAUGUUCACAAUUCCCAUGUCACAGGCCUUCACUCACUGCCGAUUGUCUCCAUGACUGCAGACAAACAGAAUGGAACAGUCUAUACUUGCUCCAGUGAUGGAAAGGUGAGGCAGCUGAUUCCCAUUUUCACAGAUGUUGCAUUGAAGUUUGAACACCAGUUGAUUAAACUCUCAGAUGUGUUUGGCUCAGUGAGGACUCACGGGAUAGCAGUGAGCCCGUGCGGUGCGUACCUGGCCAUCAUUACCACUGAGGGUAUGGUCAACGGCCUCCACCCCGUUAACAAAAACUACCAGGUGCAGUUUGUUACUCUCAAAACCUUUGAAGAGGCAGCUGCUCAGCUCCUGGAAUCUUCAGUUCAAAACCUUUUUAAGCAGGUAGAUUUAAUAGACCUAGUACGCUGGAAGAUUUUAAAAGAUAAACAUAUCCCUCAAUUUUUACAAGAAGCUUUGGAAAAAAAGAUUGAAAGCAGUGGAGUCACCUAUUUUUGGCGUUUUAAGCUUUUCCUCCUGAGGAUUUUAUAUCAGUCAAUGCAGAAAACCCCUUCAGAAGCCUUGUGGAAACCCACCCAUGAGGACUCAAAAAUCUUACUAGUGGAUUCACCUGGGAUGGGCAAUGCUGACGAUGAACAGCAGGAAGAAGGCACUUCUUCCAAACAGGUGGUGAAGCAAGGCCUGCAGGAGAGAAGCAAGGAAGGAGACGUAGAGGAGCCCGCUGAUGACUCGCUCCCCCCGACUGGAGAUGCUGGAGGCCGGGAGCCAAUGGAAGAGAAACUCCUGGAAAUCCAAGGGAAGAUCGAAGCUGUGGAGAUGCACUUGACCAGGGAACACAUGAAGCGAGUCUUAGGAGAAGUGUAUCUGCACACCUGGAUCACAGAAAACACUAGCAUCCCCACCCGAGGACUCUGUAACUUUUUAAUGUCUGAUGAAGAGUAUGAUGACAGAACAGCACGGAACUCUGAAAUCCUUGUCUCAGAAGCAACUAAAACAAGGUGCUGAUUGGACAUAUCUCAAAGAAGAUGAACAAACAGACUUUCCCUGAGCACUGUAGUUUGUGUAAAGAGAUCUUGCCAUUCACAGAUCGCAAACAGGCAGUCUGUUCCAAUGGCCACAUUUGGCUCCGGUGCUUCUUAACCUACCAGUCCUGCCAGAGUUUGAUAUAUAGAAGGUGUUUGCUCCAUGACAGCAUUGCCCGGCAUCCAGCUCCAGAAGAUCCUGACUGGAUUAAGAGGUUACUGCAAAGCCCCUGCCCUUUCUGUGAUUCUCCUGUCUUCUAAAUAAUCAGUGACAGGAACAUGGAAGGGCUGAUGAACUCUGCCAUAGAAAACUUCCUCCAGCCUGAAGAGGAGGAUGUACUGGAGGAAGCCUGACCCUCACGAGUGGAGAGAAGUCCUUGGUGAUUGUAAAGAGGGCCCCUGGAGCUCAUUUCUGAAGGGCACUCUCCAUCUCCAGGGACUAGCGGAUGUCCUUUGAAAUGGCUGGACUCAGAGAGUUGGAGUCAUUUUGAGAUGAGCAUUAGCCCUGGCUUUGUAACCAAUGAGGAACACUUAAGUAUCUUGACAGAAGCAAUUUGAACACAAUGUCCUGUAAUUUCUAGGAACAGAAUGGUCUUUUCUAGAGAACUUGGAUAAGGACCUUGCUGGGUUGAGUUAGGUUUUAAUCCUUGCUUUGGUCUGGAACUGCCUUCUGGCUCCAGAACUUAAAUUGCUUGGUCCGUGGCAUCUGAUGUACCAACAGAGAUUAAAAGUGUGUAAAGCAACA